rnacentral:rRNA from 1 species
AACGAACGCUGGCGGCAUGCCUAACACAUGCAAGUCGAACGAGACCUUCGGGUCUAGUGGCGCACGGGUGCGUAACGCGUGGGAACCUGCCCUUAGGUUCGGAAUAACUCCCCGAAAGGGGUGCUAAUACCGGAUAAUGUCUUCGGACCAAAGAUUUAUCGCCAUUGGAUGGGCCCGCGUUGGAUUAGCUAGUUGGUAGGGUAAAAGCCUACCAAGGCGACGAUCCAUAGCUGGUCUGAGAGGAUGAUCAGCCACACUGGGACUGAGACACGGCCCAGACUCCUACGGGAGGCAGCAGUGGGGAAUAUUGGACAAUGGGCGAAAGCCUGAUGCAGCAAUGCCGCGUGAGUGAUGAAGGCCUUAGGGUUGUAAAGCUCUUUUACCCGGGAUGAUAAUGACGGUACCGGAAGAAUAAGCUCCGGCUAACUCCGUG